AUUGAACGCUGGCGGCAGGCCUAACACAUGCAAGUCGAGCGAGCGGCGGACGGGUGAGUAAUGUAUGGGGACUGCCCGAUAGAGGGGGAUAACUACUGGAAACGGUAGCUAAUACCGCAUACUAUCGGAUAACCCAUAUGGGAUUAGCUAGUAGGUGAGGUAAUGGCUCACCUAGGCGACGAUCCCUCGCUGGUCUGAGAGGAUGAUCAGCCACAUGGGGACUGAGAUACGGCCCAGGGUGCUACGGAGGCAGAUGUGGCGGAUAUUGCACAAUGGGCGAAAGCCUGAUGCAGGGACGCCGCGUGGGGGAUGAAGGCUUUCGGGUUGUAAACCUCUUUCGCUAUCGAACGGGUAGGUGGAGAAGAAGCGCCGGCUAACUACGUGCCAGCAGCCGCGGUAAUAC
rnacentral:rRNA from 1 species